CUUACAAUCUUCUUCAGUGCUCUCUUCUCUCUCUCUCUUCAGAUUUGUAUCAGAUUAUAUAAUUGUAAGAUGUUACAGAGAACACAGUUCUUUCUUCACUCUUCUUUUUAUUUUUCUUUUCAAAACACUCAUUUUUUCUCUUUUCUUUUAUUUAUCUCAUUUAUCUUUUCUCUGUUGUUAGAAGCACAGACAGUUCUUGAAUCAACUGAGAAAGUUAUCUCUCUUAAUUCACUAUAAAGUCUUUCAGACACAGCAGCAGCAGUUCUCUUGAAAACCACACUAUAGUCUCAUCAUAAAUGGCCAUAUAUC
rnacentral:sRNA from 1 species